GUGUCAGCCGCCGCGGUAAUACGGAGGGUGCAAACGUUGCUCGGAAUCAUUGGGCGUAAAGCGCGUGUAGGCGGCUUGUUAAGUUGAGUGUGAAAGCCCUGGGCUUAACCCAGGAAGUGCGCUCAAAACUGGCGAGCUAGAGUACGGGAGAGGGUAGUGGAAUUCCCGGUGUAGAGGUGAAAUUCGUAGAUAUCGGGAGGAACACCAGUGGCGAAGGCGGCUACCUGGACCGAUACUGACGCUGAGACGCGAAAGCGUGGGUAGCAAACAGGAUUAGAUACCCUGGUAGUCCACGCUGUAAACGAUGAGUGCUAGGUGUUGCGGGUAUUGACCCCUGCGGCGCCGUAGCUAACGCAUUAAGCACUCCGCCUGGGGAGUACGGACGCAAGUUUAAA
rnacentral:rRNA from 1 species